rnacentral:rRNA from 1 species
GUGCCAGCCGCCGCGGUAAUACGUAGGGCGCAAGCGUUAUCCGGAUUUAUUGGGCGUAAAGGGCUCGUAGGCGGCUCGUCGCGUCCGGUGUGAAAGUCCAUCGCUUAACGGUGGAUCUGCGCCGGGUACGGGCGGGCUGGAGUGCGGUAGGGGAGACUGGAAUUCCCGGUGUAACGGUGGAAUGUGUAGAUAUCGGGAAGAACACCGAUGGCGAAGGCAGGUCUCUGGGCCGUCACUGACGCUGAGGAGCGAAAGCG